rnacentral:rRNA from 1 species
UACGAGGGGGGCGAGCGUUGUUCGGAAUUAUUGGGCGUAAAGGGCGCGUAGGCGGUGCGGUAAGUCACCUGUGAAACCCCCGGGCUUAACCUGGGGGCUGCAUUUGAUACGUGUUGUCUUGAGUUCGGAAGAGGGUCGUGGAAUUCCCAGUGUAGAGGUGAAAUUCGUAGAUAUUGGGAAGAACACCGGUGGCGAAGGCGGCGACCUGGUCCGACACUGACGCUGAGGUGCGAAAGCGUGGGGAGUAAACAGG